rnacentral:rRNA from 1 species
UACCAGCACCCCGAGUGGUCGGGACGAUUAUUGGGCCUAAAGCAUCCGUAGCUGGUCCUGCAAGUCUUCCGUUAAAUCCAGCUGCUCAACAGAUGGGCUGCGGGGGAUACUACAGGGCUAGGAGGCGGGAGAGGCAAGCGGUACUUUAUGGGUAGGGGUAAAAUCCGUUGAUCCAUAGAAGACCACCAGUGGCGAAGGCGGCUUGCCAGAACGCGCUCGACGGUGAGGGAUGAAAGCUGGGGGAGCAAACCGG